CUGGCUUCCGUUCCUUGCUGGUCCUCCUGUUAACGCGCUGCCGCUGUGGUCUUAGGUUUCACUCUCCUCUUCCCGUCCGUCAAGAGAGACAAGGAUGACACAAUCCACAUUUAUUGAUUGCUUUCUUCAUUCCGGGUAGUCCGCCUGCUGCCCUUUGAUUCAGUCUUAACAGUGGUUGGUGAGGUAGAUGUUCCUGUGCCUCACGUUUACGGAGGCACAGAGAGAUUACAUUACUUACUCAGGGUUCCAAGUGGCAGAGCUGGAAUUUGAACCCAAUACUUUGUUGAAGCCUCAGUCUCCGAUCUUGAGACUGCACCCAGCUGCCUGGGUCACGGAAGGCAAAGAUGACAUCAUUGAUCGAGCUCUUUGCAAAACAGUUCUCUACACGGGCACACUGUUGUAACACUGCAAGGAUUAUUUGCUCACCUGUAAAAUGGGGCUAGAGGUAGCUUCCCUCGCGAUCUCCUAGGGUGGCUGUGGGAAGCUCAUGUGAAAAGGUUUGCAUUGCUAAUGCCAUGAAAAGUGGUGGAGGGAGGUCAAAUAAGUUUAACACACAUUGACGGAGCAGCUCUGAGUUGCAGCCCUCCUAUUCAGUUCCUGAACUUCCAAAAUAAAAGACUAAGGUUUUCAAGGCGUUCACAGCCUAGAGAAGCAUCAAAGGGUGGGGAUGAGGAUGAUGUGACUGAGUGGGCAAAGAUGGGCAGGGGCCUUGCAGUCAUCAUCGUCCAGUAAAGUGUUAAUCUUAACCUGAACAAGUCCAACCAUUGAGAGGUAGCCAAAGAAAGUAAGAGGGGCUCAGGAUCCAUCAGUGACUGGCCUGGCUUCCAAUCCCGGCUCUUUCUCUUCUUCCCCUUGGGCAGCGUCCGUUCUCUCCGCUGUAAGAAUGGAGCAAGCGGUUCUCACUGUGCAGAGUGGUGGAUCCAGAAAGAGCAUUGUAACUGUCCUCCUGUAGUUCAAGUCCUUUAUGUUACAGAGAGAGCAAUGUCUGCUGAAGGAGAGUGAUUUGCACUGUAGAGGAAGAGCGUCAGAGAGAUUUGAGGAUUACAUGUAGUAGAAGGACCUGACAGUUCUCUUGCAGGAUCUCCUUCCCAGCCUUCAGAAAUUGCCGGUCUGGGAGUUGGGGGCAAGGAGAAGAUCCUGCAACCCAGUGAUUCCAUGGAAAGCAGAAAGAAGGACAUAAAGAAACGGAUACUUGGUGACAUCUUUGACUCACUGGAUCAAACCUUGCCUGAAGCUCACAUUUCUGAAAUUUCCAGAUACAAGAACAAAUACUUCCUCUUUAUUGUUUUACUAGAUUUGAGACAAGCUUUAAGUUUCUCAGACUCUUCCUCUUCCUAACAGAUUUAUCAGAAGCUGAAAGCUCUGAUCUUGUUGGGAUGCGGAUCGUGUCAGGAGAAGGCUUACUUUGCACGCUUUUCUUAGUCUGGUUGCCUAACUCAAGAACCUCGGCAUGGCUCUGUUACUUCUCUACUCAGACAAGCAUCCCUGCAGACACUCACUAGGCUAACUCUGUCUUUAUUUUUAGAAUUAGACCUUUACGAGAAGCACAGUUUUGUCUUCAGUUUCCUCUCCCCCCACCCGGAAUGGCCUGAGCCGAAGCCAGCUCCCUCCGAGAAGUCAUUACCGCCUGACUUGCGUUUGAUAUUUAGACACCUUGGUCACAACAUCUUGCAUUCUCUCGGGAUGCUGAUUUCUAACUGCUCUUUGGCCUUUCCUGCAUUGGUCCUCCUCAGGCAGGGGAUCCCUGCUCUUCUAUAUUAGUGAGAAAACCAAGGCUCAGAGAAACUGUGGAUUUUCUAAGGAUGCUGGCUCCCCGUCCCCUGUCCACCAUGAGUCAAAGCAAUGUGAGUCCCUCACCAGAUGCAACUGCCCAGUCUUGGACUUUCCAGUGACCAGAAUCAUGAGCCAAAUAAACCUCUUUUCUUUAUGAA
rnacentral:lncRNA from 1 species